rnacentral:rRNA from 1 species
UACAGAGACCUCAAGCGUUAUCCGGAAUCAUUGGGCGUAAAGCGUGCGCAGGCGGUUAUUUAAGUCAGGUGUGAAAGCCCUGGGCUUAACCUAGGAAUUGCGCUUGAGACUGGAUAGCUUGGAGUGCGGCAGAGGGAGGUGGAAUUCCACGUGUAGCAGUGAAAUGCGUAGAGAUGUGGAGGAACACCGAUGGCGAAGGCAGCCUCCUGGGCCAGCACUGACGCUCAUGCACGAAAGCGUGGGGAGCAAACAGG